AACGAACGCUGGCGGCAUGCCUAACACAUGCAAGUCGAACGAGACCUUCGGGUCUAGUGGCGCACGGGUGCGUAACGCGUGGGAAUCUGCCCUUGGGUUCGGAACAACAGUUAGAAAUGACUGCUAAUACCGGAUGAUGACGUAAGUCCAAAGAUUUAUCGCCCAAGGAUGAGCCCGCGUAAGAUUAGGUAGUUGGUGGGGUAAAGGCCUACCAAGCCGACGAUCUUUAGCUGGUCUGAGAGGAUGAUCAGCCACACUGGGACUGAGACACGGCCCAGACUCCUACGGGAGGCAGCAGUGGGGAAUAUUGGACAAUGGGCGAAAGCCUGAUCCAGCAAUGCCGCGUGAGUGAUGAAGGCCUUAGGGUUGUAAAGCUCUUUUACCAGGGAUGAUAAUGGCAGUACCUGGAGAAUAAGCUCCGGCUAACUCCGUGCCAGCCGCCGCAGUAA
rnacentral:rRNA from 1 species